rnacentral:rRNA from 1 species
UGGUGGAGUGAUUUGUCUGGUUAAUUCCGUUAACGAACGAGACCUCGACCUGCUAAAUAGUUCGACGAAUCUUCUGGGUUCGGCUUGUGACUUCUUAGAGGGACUAUCGGUGUGUAGCCGAUGGAGGUUCGAGGCAAUAACA